GACGAACGCUGGCGGCGUGCUUAACACAUGCAAGUCGAACGGAAAGGCCCUGCUUUUGUGGGGUGCUCGAGUGGCGAACGGGUGAGUAACACGUGAGUAACCUGCCCCUGACUUUGGGAUAACUUCAGGAAACUGGGGCUAAUACCGGAUAGGAGCUACUGCUGCAUGGUGGGGGUUGGAAAGUUUCGGCGGUUGGGGAUGGACUCGCGGCUUAUCAGCUUGUUGGUGGGGUAGUGGCUUACCAAGGCUUUGACGGGUAGCCGGCCUGAGAGGGUGACCGGCCACAUUGGGACUGGGCUGCGGCCCAGACUCCUACGGGAGGCAGCGGUGGGGAAUAUUGCACAAUGGGCGGAAGCCUGAUGCAGCAACGCCGCGUGCGGGAUGACGGCCUUCGGGUUGUAAACCGCUUUCGCCUGUGACGAAGCGUGAGUGACGGUAAUGGGUAAAGAAGCACCGGCUAACUACGUG
rnacentral:rRNA from 1 species